AUUGAACGCUGGCGGCAUGCCUUACACAUGCAAGUCGAACGGCAGCACGGGAGCUUGCUCCUGGUGGCGAGUGGCGAACGGGUGAGUAAUACAUCGGAACGUACCCAGUAGUGGGGGAUAACGCACCGCAAGGUGCGCUAAUACCGCAUACGACCUACGGGCGAAAGCGGGGGACCGUAAGGCCUCGCGCUAUCGGAGCGGCCGAUGUCGGAUUAGCUAGUUGGCGGGGUAAUAGCCCACCAAGGCGACGAUCAGUAGCUGGUCUGAGAGGACGAUCAGCCACACUGGGACUGAGAAACGGCCCAGACUCCUACGGGAGGCAGCAGUGGGGAAUUUUGGACAAUGGGGGCAACCCUGAUCCAGCAAUGCCGCGUGUGCGAAGAAGGCCUUCGGGUUGUAAAGCACUUUUGUCAGGGAAGAAAUCUUUCAGGCUAAUACCCUUGGAAGGAUGACGGUACCUGAAGAAUAAGCACCGGCUAACUACGUGCCAGCAGCCGCCGUAA
rnacentral:rRNA from 1 species